AAAAAAAGGUGGUGCCAACUCUAACAACAAUUUAGAUCAAAAGUAACACAUACCACAUUCACAUGUGCAAGUGCAAGCAUCAAAUUAUAGCAAAAGUGCCUGCAAAAUAGCCACUACAUAAAAUGACUUGAAAAGUUCUACUAACGGUUGAAUAGCUAAAAUUCCCAAUCAAAAGUACUAUUUGGUGGUGAGCCCCGCAAAUUAAUCUUGGAAUAAAAAUUAACUUUGAUUAACUUGAUGGGAUUACUAUCACUUGGGACGACGAGCCGAGUCCAUUCUAGUAUUUCUGCUCUGUUCACCGUUCUCACGUUUGCAGCUGCCAUUGCCCAUUGUGAAGGCAGGGCCUUAGGGUCUCUGUGCACAAUUAUUUUUCUAACCAGGGUUAUUUCUGGUAAUUGUCUCGGCGCCCCAUGGCCAGGGGGGCAGCCGAGCAGAGCCGGCCAGGUGCUGGCUGAAUGAUUGCCAGCCUGGCGAGAGCUGAGCAUCUCGCUCUUGUUGACUUCUCGCCUUCUUGGUCGUCUCCUCCUGCUAUCGCCGGGCGAGGCUCCGGGGAAGAGGUGGAGGCUAGCUGACGGACCGGCCGCCGGCGGAUCCGCCAUGAGCAACGGCCAGCAGGGCGACGUUCCAGGGGGCUACUUCGUUGGCCGCCCGACGAACCACGCGCCGGACAGGACAGACGAACCAGCCGCCGGCGGCAGCGGCGGAGGCGGCGAGCACACUCCUGGCGAUUACUUCGUCGGCCGUCCGGAGAACCAUCGCAACCUGGAACAAGAACCGGCACCCAAGCCGGUCACAAAACAGAGCACGCCAGGCUUCUUAGCCAAAUGCUGUCCAUGCCUCGGCGGUGGAGCUGCCGACUAGAUCACUAGAUCAGGAGCUCCUGCCUCCCUAGAGUGGUGAUGUGAACUGCAGAGGAUUCCAGUAAAUUCGGGAGGAGGCUCUAUCUGUGUCUGAAUUGCAACUUUGGAGCUGUGGAAGCUGUUCUUAUUUCUUUCCCUCAUUGUUUCGCAUUUGGUGAUUCUUACACGUCCCUGUGCAUCCGUACCACUACCACGAAGUGCAAAUUCGAUCGUCACCCAUCCCACCCAACCAGCUGCAGUCUUAUCUCUCUUUCCUGAAAAAGAUACUUUUAUUUCAAAAUUUCAGUUGUGUAUUAUUUAUUUUUCUUUCUUUGAUUGUGAACCUUUUUUUUGUCAUUAGAUGUCUUUCGCUUGUUACAAUAGUUGUAUGUCAAUUCAAAUUACAAAGUUCUUACAGGUUACUGGGUCAUGUACUGUACAUAUGCUGUGGCUUUUGAACAA